rnacentral:rRNA from 1 species
UACGGGGGGAGCAAGCGUUGUUCGGAUUUACUGGGCGUAAAGGGCGCGUAGGCGGCCUCUGCAAGUCGACUGUGAAAUCUCCGGGCUUAACCCGGAAAGGUCAGCCGAUACUGCAGGGCUAGAGUGCAGAAGGGGCAACUGGAAUUCUCGGUGUAGCGGUGAAAUGCGUAGAGAUGCGGAGGAACACCGAUGGCGAAGGCAGCCCCCUGGGCUAGCACUGACGCUCAGGCACGAAAGCGUGGGGAGCAAACAGG